rnacentral:rRNA from 1 species
UGUUAGCGGCGGACGGGUGAGUAACACGUGGGUAACCUGCCUGUAAGACUGGGAUAACUCCGGGAAACCGGAGCUAAUACCGGAUAGUUCCUUGAACCGCAUGGUUCAAGGAUGAAAGACGGUUUCGGCUGUCACUUACAGAUGGACCCGCGGCGCAUUAGCUAGUUGGUGAGGUAACGGCUCACCAAGGCGACGAUGCGUAGCCGACCUGAGAGGGUGAUCGGCCACACUGGGACUGAGACACGGCCCAGACUCCUACGGGAGGCAGCAGUAGGGAAUCUUCCGCAAUGGACGAAAGUCUGACGGAGCAACGCCGCGUGAGUGAUGAAGGUUUUCGGAUCGUAAAGCUCUGUUGUUAGGGAAGAACAAGUGCAAGAGUAACUGCUUGCACCUUGACGGUACCUAACCAGAAAGCCACGGCUAACUACGUGCCAGCAGCCGCGGUAAUACGUAGGUGGCAAGCGUUGUCCGGAAUUAUUGGGCGUAAAGGGCUCGCAGGCGGUUUCUUAAGUCUGAUGUGAAAGCCCCCGGCUCAACCGGGGAGGGUCAUUGGAAACUGGGAAACUUGAGUGCAGAAGAGGAGAGUGGAAUUCCACGUGUAGCGGUGAAAUGCGUAGAGAUGUGGAGGAACACCAGUGGCGAAGGCGACUCUCUGGUCUGUAACUGACGCUGAGGAGCG